AGGUUGAAGAAGUGUGAGCAUUUAGAAUGUCUAAAAGUUCCCUUCUGCAAAUAGUCAACAAUACGGACAGUCCUAAGACUAUAGAGAGUAAGAUCAUUAUAAAACAUUUAUUCUGCAAAGAACCACUUCUCUUAUGUGUCACAACAUUUUUCUGGUUCUAGGUUGUUUCCAUUAGUGAAUUGAGGUGGGUUUACUAGAACAAACCAAAUCAGACCAACAGAAUUUUCUUUCUGGGAGAAAAGUUUGGGGGUUGACAGAUCCCUGGUUGUUAGCAUAGCAUUUCAAAAACCUUUUUAUUGAUAUCCUUGUUGGAUGGUAAGAGGAAUGGACAGUAGUUCAGGUGAGACAGUGAAUAACAUGUAAAUGCCAGUUGGUUGUGGGUCAUAUUAACUUAAUUUUCUUCUCAAAUGAAUACUUUCUAUUUGUGACAUAUGUCACUGUUUGUUUUUUUUUUAAUUUAUAUUAGUGACAUUAAUUUUACUUUAAAAUACUAUAAAAAUGUAACAAGUGAGUUUGUUUAAAAUAUCAAGCAAAUAGUGACAUAGGUAGUAUGCCCUUAUGAAUGAGAAAUUAGAUUUGAUAGCCUCUAAGGUUUUUUCCAACUUGGAGACUGCAUGAAAGGCAAAUAUAACCAUCUUUCUUAAGCAAAGACAGAGUUUAAAAGAAGUAAGUUGGUAGACAUCUUGAUCCAGAACCUAAAUCUUUUGACUGUCAAAGAAGUAGCAGGAAUAUGGCCCUCUGUCGGGGUCUGAGCAAACAGGCAAAGUAUUUUAAUUAUAAUAAUUAUGUUUCAAUUCUCUCUUUUGAUUUACCACCAGAAGAAAAUGAAAUUUGAAACACAUUCAAAGGCUCUGCAAAGCUCAAGUGACCAGAGAAAAAAAAGAAUCAUUCUCAUUCUUGCUUAGAAUAGCUUCCUUCCUGCCUUCUUUGUCUGGAGGAAGCAAAAACGGAGGGAUGGGUGUUUCCUUCUGUAUGAUAUUCUAGAAUCCAUUUAGAGAGGCAUUUCAAGUGUCAUAUUGUAAAGCUACCAUAUGGAAGAGUGAGUCCUGUUGUCUGGUAUAUCCCAUGGGGCCAGUUGUCUCUCCUAGCCAGCAUUCCAUUCACCUUCCGUCUCUAUAUCCCAUGGGUAUCAAGAACCUGGCUCCUUUUCUCCCCUUCUGGCUACAGCCAUCUGCCCUUCCACCUGGGUUCCUUGCCAUUCAGAUCAUCACUCUUACAGCUUAGCAGUUUCUCCUUCAGUUUUCUGUUGCUGAAAAGACCUUUAAACCCUUUGAGCUGUUUUAUUUUAUUACUGACAAUAAGAACAAAGUCAUAAUUAGGAGGGUCUUUUCUUUUCAAUUAAGAGAAAUAAUUUAAGCCACCUUUAGGAAAAAUUGUGAAUUGUAAGGACUCAGUUGUAUCUCAGAAUUCAAGAGUCCUCACAGGAGCCUGCCUGGAAGAAGGCAAUAAAAAGAAGAUGAAAAUACAGGCAUCCAUGUUCUUAUUCUCUCUGCCUCUCUCCUUUUGGUCUCUCCUGUAUGUCUUCCCUGCUUAUCUUUUUUCCUCUAGAAGAUCUUUCAUUGCUCGGGAAUUAUCUUACUUUAUUUAAAGCGAAUGAACCAUACUCAGUUCCAAAUUCCCUGAAAGUGUGACAUUAGUCAACUUGUGUCAAGGGUAUUCUCUGAUGUACAAGAAUGACUGGGAAUGGAUCUUAGGACAAACAUGGCAAAUGAAUGGGUCCAUCAUGUGGCUAAAAAGAGGGUUCAUCCUGUGUUUGGGAGGAGUUUUCAGGGAAAGGAAGUCAUUGCAGCUGAUAGUCCCCACUGCAGGGAUUGGUUGACUCCGUGGAUAUGGAACCUAGGAACACAGAGGACUGACUAUUCUAUACCAUUUUAUAUCAGGGACUUGAGCAACUAAAGAUUUUGUUAUCAGCAAAGUGGAGAGGUCCUGGAACUAAUCUCCCAUGGAUACCAGGGGAUGAUUAUACUAUUAGAAAGGAUAACAUCCUGAAAAAUUCUAAUGAACAUUUUUUUUUAGAAGAAAAGCAGUGGAAAAUUUCCAGGCAAUCACAAUCAGAAAGUUUAUUUUCCGAGGAAGAUAUAAUGACUGGGAAAGUUCUUCCCUCUCAAGAAAACAAAAUCUGGUGUUUUUGAGCAUAUUUUUGCUUUGUUGCAUUUUAGAUGCCCUCUGCUAGUGGUUUUUACAACUCAGAUAUGUGGGAAAAAAACAGUUUAUUCUUUGAUAUUGAUUUUUUCAGAAUGUGAAAUAGUUUACUCACCAAAUAAUAAAUGGCCCUUUAAGCAUGAAGGUGAUAAACCUUACCAAAGGACAGAGUUUAAAAUAAAAUAUUCUUUAGAUUAAAAGGACUUCUUGGAGUCUAAGAAAAACAAGUAGGUUUCAGUUUGUAUAUAGAAUCAGAUUGAAUAGAACUAGCUACCUAGAAUGUGACGUUGAGAAGCAUCCUGAGCCCACUCUGCCUAAAGUGGGAAUCAAAAGAGGCAUAAGGGCACAUUUCUCAUGCAUUUUCAUCUAUAAUCUGUUUUUGAAGAUCCAGAGAAGAAAAACUAUGUGACCACGAAGAAAUCUGAUUAUUUCCAGACUGCAUUCAAGUUCCUUUUAAAAACAAGUGGGAGAGGGAAUCCAAAUAGAAAUUAUUUACAGGAUCUUCCAUUCUGAUUCAGGAAAAUUAACACACAGGAAGCAACUGCUAAAUUUAUAAGACAGUGUGUUAAAGAAAAAUUGCAUCAGCCAAGUUAAAUAGAUAAAGAAGACUUUAAUCAAGAUUAUUGCAAUAGGGGGCAAGACUAUUUCAACAGGCGAGAAGAUUUCAACUCAACUUUAUGGAAACAAAAGGCAUACUGGAGGACUAUGGUGGGAGAGUUUGGUCAAUGUAUUAGGCCCUCUUGUCUUGAUGCCCAUUAAAGUUAGGCUUCUCCCAUCUCAAAGAAUGGAACCCUACUUUUCUUGAUGAUUACAUGCCAAAGGCAAGACUCUCAAGUCCUUGAGAAAGACAUUCCUGGGUUGUAAAACUGCCAACAGUUUGGAAGAAGAUUUAUAUCUCAAGGGGACAUAGAAAUUUACAGUUGCAAGUUUCUGAAGUAAAUGCUUGAAGUUCUCUAAGAAAAGGAAGUUAAGGAGCCAUUUAUUAUCUAUCUAUCUGUCUGUUUGUUUAUUUAUUUAUUUAUUUAUUUAUUUAUUUGCCAUGUUCACAGCAUGUGGGCAGAAGUUCUCAGGCCAGGGAAUCAAACCCAUACUGCAGCUGUAACCAGAGCCAAAACCACAACAGAGACAACUCCAGGUCCUUAACCUGCUGAGCCAUGAGGGAACUUCAGGAGCCUUCUUUAGACAUGAACAAACCUGUCAAAAGUUAAAGUUGAAGGGAAUAUUAAAGCCUUAUUGGCCAAAGUGUCAAAUUAAAUUCUGAGUUACAUGGUUCAGGAUGCACAUACAGUAUUCAGAGAGGCUGGAAAUCAGAAAGUCAUCAACAGAGUUUUCUGGAGGUGGAAAGUUUUCUUUUUUUUUUUUUUUUUUUUUUUUGUCUUUUGUCAUUUUAGUGACUCAUCUGUGGCAUAUGGAGGUUCCCAGGCUAGGCGUCUAAUCAGAGCUGUAGCCACUGGCCUAUGCCACAGCCACAGCAACACCAGAUCUGAGCUGAGUCUGCAACCUACACCACAGCUCAUAGCAAUACCAGAUCCUUAACUCACUGAGCGAGGGCAGGGAUGGAACCCACAACCUCAUGGUUCCUUGUUGGAUUCGUUUCUCUUGCACCAUGACGGGAACUUCCAAGGUAGAAAGAUUUUGAGUUGCUCUUUGAAAAAAAUCUUGUAAAGUUACUCGAAAAAAAGACAUUUCCAUCAAGAGCAGCACAGUGAGUGAUGACAGGUAGGACACAGUAAGUGCUGUAUGUGGGGAAUCACCUGAAACUUAAUUCUGUGAAGAUAAGUCAUUCCUCAGUUUUAGAUCAACUUUAACAAUCUCCUUUUCUCUCUCUAAGCCCCAGGGUGCCAGUUGGUUUAUCCUCCUUAAAGCUGUGAGUUCAUACACUAACCAGUAGCAUCCUUCCCUCCAAGCAUAUGCAGUGGGACCCAGACAACCCUGCCACUUUCACUGCCUGCAAAGACAAGCCUUGGUAGAUUUGUUCUAUUAGCUGUUUCUUCCUAAUCACUGUCAUGUCUGAGAGGCAUACCAGAAAUGUGAAACAAAAGAAAUCAUAUAAAUCUCCCCUGCCCUUGAGUUUGAAUCCUUUCUGGCAUGUUAACCAGAAACUCCAUAGGAUUUUUUCCUUCAGACUUGUUUCAAAGCUCAUUAGUCCUCAACUUUCCUGCAAACUUUCUCCCAUCUCUAAAAUCAUAGGUGAAGAAUGAGCCAACCACUGGCCCACCAAGCCAAGGCAAAGCUAUUCUAUUCUCAAAUAUGUAAUUAGCAUAUUAGACCUGCGCACAAGGUGACAACCCUGAUCCAUUCCAGAAAAACUUUUGCAGGGAAUGCUAGUAUUGGGAGGACAAAUGGCAGAGUACCAGCAGCUUGCAGCCUUGACUCUGGUGUCAGACCUGGCUUGCAAUCCAACUUCUUUCAGUUACUUAUCCUGUGACCUUGGUAGAUUAUACAUUCUCUCUAAAUGUCAGGUUCCUAAUUGAUUAAUAAAAGUGAGAGAAUCAUAAAUGAAAUUAUAUUUUCAUCUUAAAUUGUUACUCUGUCUUGAAUUGUUGCUUUCAUAGUAAAAAAACAUGUGAAGGAUUCAGUGGCACCACUGUUGCUGGAAAAAAAUACAUUUUUUAACUUUUAUUUUUGAUGUUUGCUGUUUUUUAGAGUGUAAGAUCUAGCCUCAGCAUAUUUCUGAAAAUGUAUAUGAGUCUUUUAAAAGGUAGAGAGAUUUCUUAGGGACAUUAACAAAUGCAGUAGCAUGAGCUAAAUAUACCACACAAUUCACAUCUUAAAAGCAAGAAAAAAAAGAAUUUGUUGCUUGCAGACCAGGAGUCAUUAACUGGCUAGUGCAGUAGAUUGAUUUGAGUGAGCAAAUUGAUUUAAGUGAAGAGCUUUCUUUCUUUUCAGGCCUCAUGCCUGACAUUUUGAGAAUUCCAAUUCAAGACAGAUCUGUGUCAGCCUCAGUUGCUGAAAAUUCAGUAGCAGUAUGUAUGUUUUCCUGAUACUUUAAAAAACAAAACAAUACAAAACACAACCUGGUGGCUGCAUGUAGAGGUCAUCUGUGGCUUU
rnacentral:lncRNA from 1 species